UGUACAGUAAGCUGAUCUCUCCGGCUUGCUUUAAAAUAAUAAUAAUAAAUAAACCCUGAACAGGGCGAAUUAUGUCUUGCAAAAUCUCUCAGCCUCUUUGGAAGGACCCUGGAGCCACGGCCAGCAUAGACACACCAAAGUGUGGAAGUUUUGUUUUCAGAUCCCGUCUGCGGAUUUACGCCACGAAUCUGAGGUCGCCGUUCCUCUUUCAACAGCUGCAGAGAUUGUUUUGGCGUCCUCCCCGGCCAUCCAGCAAUUCCCACCAUUUCCCAGAACUAAGGCGAGCCCGGCGGUCCCUUGGAAGCAAGGAAAACAAACGCCCCUUGAAAUGCAGAGCUGUUGGGUCUCGCCUGGGCAUCCCGGCCUCCCUCUCAACUUUCUACUGUGUUGCGCUUCUCAAUGACAUCGAUUCAGUGGCUGCCGGUGGAGUGUGACCGUUGUGCAUCUGGACGAGUGGUUAAAGCAACAGCUGGUGGACCGGGUGACCUGAACCACUAGAGUAAAUAUAAGGGGUUCUAUGUGCUGGGAAGCCUGAUUAAAUAAACCCAGACAUUUCAGAAAA